rnacentral:rRNA from 1 species
GACGAACGCUGGCGGCGUGCUUAACACAUGCAAGUCGAACGGAAAGGCCCUGCUUUUGUGGGGUGCUCGAGUGGCGAACGGGUGAGUAACACGUGAGUAACCUGCCCUUGACUUUGGGAUAACUUCAGGAAACUGGGGCUAAUACCGGAUAGGAGCUCCUGCUGCAUGGUGGGGGUUGGAAAGUUUCGGCGGUUGGGGAUGGACUCGCGGCUUAUCAGCUUGUUGGUGGGGUAGUGGCUUACCAAGGCUUUGACGGGUAGCCGGCCUGAGAGGGUGACCGGCCACAUUGGGCCUGAGAUGCGGCCCAGACUCCUCCGGGAGGCAGCAGUGCGGAAUAUUGCACAAUGGGCGGAAGCCUGAUGCAGCAACGCCGCGUGCGGGAUGACGGCCUUCGGGUUGUAAACCGCUUUCGCCUGUGACGAAGCGUUAGUGACGGUAAUGGGUAAAGAAGCACCGGCUAACUACGUG